ACUGCGUUAUAUAUUAUGGCACCAAAUUCGGAGUAGAAAACCGCAAUAAUUUACCAGCCGAUGAAAGCAACUGUUGUGAGCCACUUAAGUUUGCGGUAAACAUAUCCUUAAGAAAGUGCAUGGAUAUUGGCUUGCAAAUUUGACAUGCCGCGAAAUAGGAGUUAGUCCGCAAAGGUUUGUCAUUAUAGCAUUCAAUUUCAGUGGUAAAAGUAAGACUUAUAUAUCAAGUGACACUUUUGGCUUUGGUUCAAAUAAAGACAGCAACUUCUUAGGUGAGAACUGAAUGACUUCUAUCAGGAGUAUUUUGUAGUCAAGAAUACAAUUGUCUGAUAUUUACUCAUGGAUACUGGGUAUAACAAAUAAUUGAUAAUGUUAUAAGAACAAAGAACAUUGUCGAGCUUCAUGUUUUUAUUUGCAGUGUUAGGUGAUGCAUGUUAUUUUUAAUUUAGUUAUUUUUAACGCAACAACUUUAUAAUAAUUUUGGUUUAUGGCAGGCUACUGCCGUAUAUUGGUUAUGGUGGUUAAUAUAGGUCCUAGCUUCAUUUUAUUAUUGUUGAUUAGUAGAGCUAAAAAUGCGUGACGUGCAAUUGCUGCAAUUUUCAAUAUUUGGCAUACACAGCAUUUGAACAGAGCUAAGUUCCUGUAUCUUACUCAGUAAUUCUGACCUGUUUUACACUUUUAAAUAGUGCGUGAUGAUUACAAUAUAUUGUUACUGGUCGGAAGAUUUUAAUAAUUUAGAUUUUCUGAAUGUUUGUAGCCUACGUCUGACUACCUUUAAGGAUGAAUGACGACUUUUUAAAUUUUUUAAAAUUUCGGAUUGAAUAUAGGUCCGCGUAUGAAAAGCUCGAAAGUUAAAGGACGCAUUUAAAGCGAAAUGCCAAACGUAUGUGCCAUUACUUUAUUUCACCUCUAGCACGAGGAGAACGCUUGUCUGAAAUAUAGUGAGACUAUGAAUUAAACUGAAAUGAUUCACUCACGUGAAAUCUACCAUGAGAAUAAAUACUUUAUAUUAAUUAGAAUUUCUCAGGAAACAUUUCUCUAUCCUUAAAGAAUAAAGGCCAAACGCCGCCUGUAAUAUAUAUACUCGAUUCAUUAAGAUUGACAAUGCAAAUUUUAAUGGAUUAUAUUUAUUAGCCAUAGUAUAUUUUAACGGUGAAAUUACUUGUCAACACUCUUUCUACGUUGAUUAAAGUCCUAUUCAUCUGUGCUGUUGUUUAUAUAAUAAAAAAAUCUUGUUUUCAUUUUGUUGCAUUCUUCAACAACGAAAAAUGAAUCACUUGUAUAUAAUUAACUGUAGUUGAAGGAUUAUAUAUACUGUACAUAAUAUCCUUCGAAGAAAGUAAUUUUUAUCCAAAUCUUCGGCAUGUUCAUAACAUUGGUUUUUCGUGCUGUCUUGUAAGAUUUACUAAUUAUAUUUGCUAAACGCAAAUAGAAAAGAGCUUUCUUUUAUUUUAUUUCGUUCCAGUGCGCAAAAUGUUGUUAAUUAGCUUCCAAAUACCCAAAUUGGAGACAUACUUAAAUAUCCCGUACAUUAUAAGACAAUAUACUGAUAGAUAGUUUAUAAAUUAUACUGCAUGAUCAUAUACUUUAAAUGAAAUGUACCAAAAAUAAAUUUAGGGGAAAACUAGUGCAAAUGUGAAACGUUCAGUCGUUCUACAAGCUUUUGACCAAGAUUGUAGCAUUCCAGAAUAUUUACAAAGGUAAGCAAAUAAGCAAACAAGGACACAGAAAUCGCAAUCAUUAUACCAGUACGAAAAUACGAAAUAAAUAUAUGCCUUCAUGUUCUAGAUACGUUUUCAAAUUUUCCGGAAGUCCAAAGAAGUGCGUCCCACCAAACAAACAAUUAGCCGUCCACACAUCCUGUUUUUGUGGCGGCUGUGAAAAUUGAUCUCUAUCCUCGUAUAUAACUGCGUCAGGAUUUGGGAUAUCGCACUAAACGUUUGCGAGAAAACUUCUUUAUACGUAUUCUAUGCAAUAACAGGAAAAAAAACACCGAAAUAAAAAUUUCACCACAGUAGCACUAAUUUAAUUAACAACAUGAUCUCCACCUUUGAAUUUACUAUAUGAAUAAAUUCUUAAACACGUCCGAAUUUAUCAUUAUAAUAAAACCACAAACAUUAGACAAGACUUCUUGCUAUCAAUGUAAUGGCACUAAAUGGGAGGCUGGUCGCGCACGGGUGGGGUUUUUAAAAAAGUUAAAAAAGUUAGGGUUGGGGUUAGGGUUAGUGUUAGGUGCCGCGAAUUUGUUAUUAUGAUAAAUUCAAAAUGUGCCGCGAAUUUGUCAUAAUGAUAAAUUCGGACGUGUUUAAGAAUUUGCUCAUAUAGUAAAUUCAAAGGUGGAGCUUAUGCUGUUAAUUAAGCAAGUCAUUAUCAAUAUCGUAUGUAUUUAUAUUACAAAAGCCUAUCAUUCUUCAUACUAAUUGUAAGCUCGGCACUGAGCGCUGGUAGAAGCACAUUCAUUUAGCUCCAAUCAAAAUGAAUUUGAGGGAAUUAGUUAAACAUUACUAUUGCAUGAAUAUAUUGUUCAACAAUGCUGAAUUUAAAGGCAGGGUAUACAGUUCGUAUGUAUGAACAAAGCCUUUGUUUACAUUUCGGUGUUCAAAAUAUUGAACUUUAUUCGACAACUAUUUAUAUUUUCAUGCUUCUACGAUCAGGCUUUGCAAGAACAUAAAAUGAAAUAAAAACCUAAUUAAAUUGUUUAUAUCACGGCAGGAGACUCCUAUAUGUGGACAUUCGCAGACCGGACUGUACCACAUCUACGUAUCCACACUAGUACAUUCAUUAGAUCUAUAACCAGGAACAGAAGUGAACAAUUAUUUUAUUUUUUUUAUUUUUUUUAUUUGCAGUAAUAAAUUUACGUGGUGUUUCCACAAACAAAAACAAUUAAAUGUAUAUAAAUUUCCACUCGAAAAUUUCCAUCUACAAUACCCUUCAACUAUAAUAUUGAUGCCAACAAAAUCUUGAUAUUUUUACCUUCCUGAUAUAAACUAUUAUACUGCACUAUUCCGCUUACAAAUGCAUUAAUAAAACAUCCUUCAUUUUCAAGAUGAUUGAAUUUUCAAAUCCCCCGGAAAUACGGAGAAAUGCGCUCCAGCAAAUAAACCCAAUUAGCCCACAAGUUGCAAGUGCCUGUUUACAUUGUUUUCAAGCAGCCACAUCCGCUUUACUAAUUUACUUGACAUUCACUUCGUAUUGUGUUCACAAAACGUACAUUCUAGCAAAAGGAACCAUUGCAUAAUCUUUUUAAAGCUUUUAAAAAAGCUUUGGAGUCUGCGGAGGACAGUGUGAACGCCUGAGCAGGCAUCUUGUUAUUUAUAUUCCACAGGAAAUUAAUAUUAUCCAUAACUAUAUUUUGCACUCACGCUUUAUAUUUUGCACUCACGCUUUUUAUUUAUGUGCUGGUUCAAAAAUCAUUAUUCCAAACAUUUUAGUCAAAGCACAGUACCAGCCUUGGAAACCAGUAAUUAAUUGGAUCGGAUUUUCACUGUAUUUUCUCGUACUACUUUUAAUAUGUACACACUUUUCUACAUUCGUAUAAGUGGACUGAAAUCACUUUGUUGUUUACUAUUGAGAAAGACUGAAUUUCAGCAAAGGAAAGCCAACAUAGACUUUACUCUUUAUUGCAUAUUUGUUAUUUGCAUAUUUUCCGUGUUUGCCUGUUUUAGCGCAUAGGCGCACAUGAAGGUUAUAUCACCAUGUUUCGUGCACGAAUGUAUUUUUCUUUGAUUUUAAUCCCAAUCGCAAAACAACAUGAGGAAAUAGGCGCAUGAACACGAGGCCAUUGUGCCAAGAUUGCGAAAAAAGGUAUACACUAGAAUCUAUUAGCAGAACCAGUGUAAAACCCCUAAUUCCUGGUUGACCAGGUUCCCGCGACAUGGUUUUUGAAGGGUUUUCCUAUGUAUUUUCAUAUAUACAAUAUUAGUUUGGGAAUUUAAUUAUAUGAUUUUGAACUUUAUUUAGAACAACCUUGAUUUCCAAAAAUGGAAAAUAUUUUCCUUGGAGUAAUUCUUCUCAGCGGUCACGUUCUCACAGUUUCAAGUGCUCCUAUAGUUCCAGUACAGAACGGGUGUGCAGAAGGAGAGCCAUCAGUUGGUUAGUUCAUAGUUAAAGUCAACUAAAACACGAUCGCAAACUCAUUAAUAAUUCAU